UACGGAGGGUCCAAGCGUUAAUCGGAAUUACUGGGCGUAAAGCGCGCGUAGGCGGUUUAGCAAGUUGUAUGUGAAAGCCCUGGGCUCAACCUAGGAACUGCAUCCAAAACUACUAAGCUAGAGUACGAGAGAGGAGAGUAGAAUUUCUGGUGUAGCGGUGAAAUGCGUAGAUAUCAGAAGGAAUACCAAUGGCGAAGGCAGCUCUCUGGCUCGUAACUGACGCUGAGGUGCGAAAGCGUGGGUAGCAAAC
rnacentral:rRNA from 1 species